GAUGAACGCUGGCGGCGUGCUUAACACAUGCAAGUUAAGCGGGCAAUUUAUCUAGCACUGAUUACUUCAAAUGGAAAUCAUAAGUGUAAUCAUGAAUUUCUACCUUUAAUAAAGAAAAAGAAAUUCAUGUACGCAAAUAGUGAUAACACAUUUUAGUGAAGUGAUGAGUGCUGGAUAAAUUGCUAGCGGCGACGGGUGCGUAACACGUGGGUAACCUGCCCCUAUCACUGGGAUAACACACUGAAAAGUGUGCUAAUACCAGAUAACAUAAGCUUUUGGCAUCAUUAGCUUAUCAAAGAAUUUCGGAUAGGGAUGGGCCCGCGUCUGAUUAGCUAGUUGGUGAGGUAACGGCUCACCAAGGCAACGAUCAGUAGCCGACCUGAGAGGGUGAUCGGCCACACUGGAACUGAGACACGGUCCAGACUCCUACGGGAGGCAGCAGUGGGGAAUAUUGCACAAU
rnacentral:rRNA from 1 species